GAUGAACGCUGGCGGCGUGCCUAACACAUGCAAGUCGAACGGAGAUUACGGACGGAAGUUUUCGGAUGGAAGACUGUAAUUCUUAGUGGCGGACGGGUGAGUAACGCGUGGGCAACCUGCCCUAUACAGGGGGGUAGCAGCUGGAAACGGCUGGUAAGACCGCAUAAGUCGGCGAGACCGCAUGGUUUUGCCGGGAAAUGAGCAAUCAGGUAUAGGAUGGGCCCGCGUCCGAUUAGCCAGUUGGCAGGGUAAAAGCCUACCAAAGCAACGAUCGGUAGCCGGACUGAGAGGUCGGACGGCCACAUUGGGACUGAGACACGGCCCAAACUCCUACGGGAGGCAGCAGUGGGGGAUAUUGCACAAUGGAGGAAACUCUGAUGCAGCGACGCCGCGUGAGUGAAGAAGUAUUUCGGUAUGUAAAGCUCUAUCAGCAGGGAAGAUGAUGACGGUACCUGACGAAGAAGCCCCGGCUAACUACGUG
rnacentral:rRNA from 1 species